CCAGCUCUUCAGAGCUCCAUCCCGAGCAGCUGAGAACAAGCUUUCUUCCUGUGGACAAUUUCCAAUGAAAGCUUAAAAAAAAAAGAACGAAGAAGCUCCAAAGCAGAUGAUUUUCCAGCAGAUAGUUUCCCAGCAGCCUUGCUGGUGAAACAGCACUGAAGUCCAUAGCCCAGGAAGCUCUGGCAGGGCUGCACACCAGCAGAGACAGGGAGGUAGGAGCGCCAAGGCGAAGGAGCAUAUGGCAACAAGGCAGCUCUGCUCGGGCAUGGCUGGCGUAGAGCAACCUCRGGUUGCUUUUCUUCUCGUAGAAAACAAAUGUGGUGGGAUUAUAAUUUUUUCUUCCCCCGGUAGAGAUGGGCUUUUCAAUCUGUGGGACUUUGCU